UAGCGAGUAUCCCAGGGAGAGCUUUGAAGAGUGAAGUGGAGAAGGGUUACGUGAACGACAGCUGGAUAUGGACUAGCCGGUCAUAAGCGAGAGCCUAACUGCGUGUUAUUUUCAGGGCAUUUUGCCCUCGUAUUUCGGUAAUGUGUCUCAGCAACUAUGUGGAUGCUGCAGGAUAACGUAAAUAGAAUGCUCGACGCAGGCAGCUGCGCAGAUUGUCUUCGCUUCUUAACAACCUCUUACACAUAACCUGGAAUUAGCUAAUUUGGAGACAGGGCUGACUGGUUAGUAAAGCUCCCUGGUUUCCAGGGGAUCCGGUAUGCUCCUGAGUCCUCUUCAAAAAAGAAGGAAAAAUUGUUACUGGCACCCUUGGGCAUGCAAUCAACCGCAUCAGAUCUCGAAGCUUAGCAAUAUCUGGUU
rnacentral:ncRNA from 1 species